GUAGGGUGCGAGCGUUGUCCGGAAUUAUUGGGCGUAAAGAGCUCGUAGGCGGUUUGUCGCGUCGGCCGUGAAAACUGGGGGCUCAACCCCCAGCCUGCAGUGGGUACGGGCAGACUAGAGUGCGGUAGGGGAGAUUGGAAUUCCUGGUGUAGCGGUGGAAUGCGCAGAUAUCAGGAGGAACACCGAUGGCGAAGGCAGAUCUCUGGGCCGUAACUGACGCUGAGGAGCGAAAGGGUGGGGAGCAAACAGGCUUAGAUACCCUGGUAGUCCACCCCGUAAACGUUGGGAACUAGUUGUGGGGUCCAUUCCACGGAUUCCGUGACGCAGCUAACGCAUUAAGUUCCCCGCCUGGGGAGUACGGCCGCAAGGCUA
rnacentral:rRNA from 1 species